UGCGAUUCCUUUCGUUGAGGUGCGAGGUGCUGUGAAGGCCGGCAUGCGGGUGGAGGUGUGCAAGGCGUGCCAGCCCCAGUCGAGUGUGAGGGUUCGUCAGUGGAAGGGCGAUGCUGUUUGAGCGCGCCUCGGGGGCCGGACAUCGCCCUUUGGAGUCUGUAAGCUGCCGGACGGAGUAGUCUGGGAGAUAAAGUCCCAAUCCCGGUGGGAGCUGGCCCAUGCUGCCUCCACUCAGCAACGAAUCUGAUUGGUUCAAGCCGCUGCUCCGGGAGCUGCACCGGCGAGCUGAAAAACAAAAUAAUUAAACUUUUGACCAUUUUUCCACAACUGUAAUGCCAAGAAAAUGUGUAUAUAGAGGAUUUAUGGUUCUAUAAAUAUAAUAAAAUCACUUCCACUGUU